AUCCGCAGGGACAGCGGCUCUGUUAAAACAGAUGGAAAACUUCAGCGGAAACUUAGCCAGAAGUCUACCGUACUUAAAACGAGACUCGCGCAGAUACAGGCGCUCUACCGAAAGCAUUUUGCCACCGUACACGAUUAUUACUCCCAAUAUUGUUAUGGAACUUCAUCCAGUGUAUGUCAAAGGAUUCUCUGGAUUAUCGUACCCCGCGAGAAGAGACCUUUACAGCGACUCUCCUUAUAAAAUUUGGCGUAAUAUCUCCAAUAGAAUUUACCUUCCUAAACCUUUCUUUCAUGGAAAAGAUGUGGAAGACAACAUAGGAGUUGGCUUCAUGAUCAUCAGAAAUAUCGGAGAUUUAUUACCCAAAGCGUUUGACGCGAAGACGCGUGACUCGAAGUACAACGUUGAAGUCAGCUCUGAUGUCGUCUCUGUCAAGUUACCUCAGAUGGAAAUGGCUCCUUUAACAUAUCCUGUCCGCAUUGCCUUUGCCAACAGACUUGUGAAUCGAUCGUCUUACAUUUGUGUGCACUGGAAUUAUUCAGUACCAGACACGCGUGGUGGUGGUUGGUCACAUUACGGGUGUAAAUCAGUGAAGUCCAAUAGAACUCACACAGUGUGCUCUUGCACUCACCUAACGGCUUUUGCAGUCCUGUCAGACUUAAAUCUUCAGUAUCGCGAGCAAGCAGCCUUUGCCAUGCGUUUGGUGACGUACAUUGGUAUAUCGGUGUCCCUUGUUCUGUUACUGACAGUUUUUAUACUAUUCUUGUGUCUAAGCAAUCUGAAGAGCAACUCGAUAACAAUUCAUAAGAACCUUAUUGUGGCGGUCUUCGUCGCGGAGCUGACGUUCCUCUUGGGAAGCAACAGAACGGCAGAUCAGAGAUUGUGUCAGUUGAUCGCCAUAGUGCUGCAUUAUUUCUUCAGCGCCUCUUUCUCGUGGAUGUUCGUCGAAGGUCUGCACAUGUAUCGCAGGCUCAGGGGAAAAGAGGAAUAUAGACACUGGCAAAAGUCCUUCUAUUUCUUCAUGGGGUGGGGAUGUCCCGCUAUUGUGGUCGGAAUUUCCGCUGGCUUAGCGAACGAGGGCUACGGAAACCAGAGAUUGUUCGGAAAGAGUUCAAGAAUGUGUACAUGCGCUUGAAGACUGAGGACAAGACAUACGGGAUACAGAAACCCACGCAGCAUUUUAAACGCUCCUAUCACCUUGGGGAGACGGCACCUCUCCGAUUCCCGUAUGAUUUUGACGAUGAUGGAAACGCCACCAGCACAUCUACCACGGAGCCAUCCAGCAGUGGUUUCCGUAGCAGUGUAACGAGUCGGUUUACCACAGACAACAAUGUCACGGAUACUAUGAGAGAUGAAGAUACCAGUGCACCAGAUGGAAAAUCGCGAAAGGCCAAGUACCCUGAUAAUCCUGAACUCGAGUGGCAUUAUCAUUGUUGACGAAUGUAAACUUGCCGUGGCAGUGAAUUUUGGGACCAAAGCAGCCUCCUUCUCAUGUGCCGCAGCACGGCAGCUUCAAAUUAAAGAUGAAUCGGAAAAUUACAGGCCCUCUUCUUCUCGGUGGGCUCGUGCAGCUACCAAUUAAAUUCCCAGUCCUCUACAAACAUUUUACUGGCUGCAUCAGAAAUGUUUACAUCAAUCACGAGUUCUUGGACCUCAGUCAGCCAUUGUACAACAACGACGGAACCAGUGCUAAAUGUAAAGCAAUGGGCAACACGUGCGCAUAUAAACCUUGCGGGCGAGGCACGUGUUUUAACAUACUUGGUUCUCACCGGUGUGACUGUCCCACUGGGUUUGAUGGAAGUCGCGGUGAAACAGGUGUGAAAUACACUAGGAGAUUCUCAAGACGGAGUUUUAAGAGGGUGCCUGCCAACUCAAAGGUCAAUCUUCUGUGGAGUGUUUCAAUGAGAUUCCGCACAGCUAAGCCUUCAGGAACUCUGUUUGAAAUCUCUUUUUCGUCAUCAUCUUCGGUGCCGGAGUUGGUUGAUGGUAAACUGUCGUACAACUACAAAGAGUUGUUGGUUCUCCAAUUGCCUCACAUAGCGGUGAAUGAUACCCAGUGGCAUCACAAGUCAGACAUGAAUUAUCAAAAGAUGUAUUUGAAAUGUCGUCAGAAGAAUUGUAAUCUAUUCCAUUGGUGGCGUUACAAACCCUCCAGGAAAACACAGCAAAUUCUGUGUGCUGACAUGGAAUGACAUUUUUUGUCGUAGAUAGACGACAUCAUCUUGCACUGGCCUUAUUUUAAACUGUAGAAGAAGAAGGAGUAGAUGCAUGGGUUGAAAAAUUUUCGGACGGUAAAUGGCGAAGUUACGCCUAAGAACUUAUGGGUUUUAAACCUCAUGAACUCGAUGCCUUAGAACAAGGAGAUCCUAGAGAUUUUCUAACAUUUAUAUCAAUUUUAAGUAAAAUGGUAUAAUUCGCGUUUUUCAGAGCGUAGAUUUAAGGAAGGCAUAUCCACAGAUGAAGAACUGUUCUUAUUAGCUCAGGAAUUAGCCAAAGAAGAUCCUAAAAAAGUGGAAGAAUUUUUCACGAUUUUAUUUCAAAAAUGAAUUUUGUAAAUUUUUUGAUUUUUUAAUAGGUGAGCUUUCUGAAGAAGAGCAUGCACAUAUUGCGCAGAGGAUUGGAUUAUCGUUGUUUAGGAGGUUAGCUCCACGACUAGGCCUAACUAGUAGUGAACUGGAAUGUUUAGAAAACGAGGUCAUGUGUCUGGAGUGUUAUAAUGCGGAUAAAUAAAAUGUGUGUAAAUUGAAA